AACGUAGGUCACAAGCGUUGUCCGGAAUUACUGGGUGUAAAGGGAGCGCAGGCGGGAAGACAAGUUGGAAGUGAAAUCUAUGGGCUCAACCCAUAAACUGCUUUCAAAACUGUUUUUCUUGAGUAGUGCAGAGGUAGGCGGAAUUCCCGGUGUAGCGGUGGAAUGCGUAGAUAUCGGGAGGAACACCAGUGGCGAAGGCGGCAUACUGGGCACCAACUGACGCUGAGGCUCGAAAGUGUGGGUAGCAAACAGG
rnacentral:rRNA from 1 species